GCCUGCGUAGCUCAGGGGUAGAGCGCGUCCUUGGUAAGGACGAGGUCCCCGGUUCAAUCCCGGGCGCAGGCUCCA
rnacentral:tRNA from 1 species